GACGAACGCUGGCGGCGUGCUUAACACAUGCAAGUCGAACGGAAAGGCCCUGCUUUUGUGGGGUGCUCGAGUGGCGAACGGGUGAGUAACACGUGAGUAACCUGCCCUUGACUUUGGGAUAACUUCAGGAAACUGGGGCUAAUACCGGAUAGGAGCUCCUGCUGCAUGGUGGGGGUUGGAAAGUUUCGGCGGUUGGGGAUGGACUCGCGGCUUAUCAGCUUGUUGGUGGGGUAGGGGCUUACCAAGGCUUUGACGGGUAGCCGGCCUGAGAGGGUGACCGGCCACAUUGGGACUGAGCUACGGCCCAGACUCCUACGGGAGGCAGCAGUGGGGAAUAUUGCACAAUGGGCGGAAGCCUGAUGCAGCAACGCCGCGUGCGGGAUGACGGCCUUCGGGUUGUAAACCGCUUUCGCCUGUGACGAAGCGUGAGUGACGGUAAUGGGUAAAGAAGCACCGGCUAACUACGUG
rnacentral:rRNA from 1 species